AUGACGGACACACCAGUGGAGGAAUCCCUCUUCCAAAUCAUCCACUGCUACCACGAGUAUGCUGCCCGGGAAGGGGAUGCAGAGACACUGUCGCUGGAGGAGCUGAAGGCUCUGCUCAUGGACAAUGUGCCCCGCUUCAUGGAGACCUUGGGCCGGAAGGAGCCGUACUACAUCACACAGUUGUUCCGGGCGGCAGACAAGAACCAGGACAACCAGAUCUGCUUUGAGGAGUUCCUCUACAUCUUGGGCAAGCUGGUGAAGGACUACCACUUGCAGUACCACCGGCAGCUGUGUGCCCAUUACUGCACCCAGCACAGCCUCUAUUAGGGGGAGUGCAGGGGCCUGCCUAGGGAGCAGGUGUGACCUAGCUGUGGGCAGCUGAAGACAGAGCUGUGUGUGUGUGUGUGUGUCUGUGUGUGUGCGCAGUGAACGCUGUGAGGGAAGAGAAUAAAGCAACUUUGUAAAGACUUCUGGAUGUUGCU
rnacentral:lncRNA from 1 species